GAUGAAGAACGCAGUGAAAUGCGAUAAGUAAUGUGAAUUGCAGAAUUCAGUGAAUCAUCGAAUCUUUGAACGCACAUUGCGCCCGCCAGUAUUCUGGCGGGCAUGCCUGUUCGAGCGUCAUUUCAACCAUCAAGCCCCCGGCUUGUGUUGGGGACCUGCGGCUGCCGCAGGCCCUGAAAACCAGUGGCGGGCUCGCUGUCACACCGAGCGUAGUAGAUUUUCAUCUCGCUCAGGGCGUGCUGCGGGUUCCGGCCGUAAAAAGCCUUAUUUACCCAAGGUUGACCUCGGAUCAGGUAGGAAGACCCGCUGAACUUAAGCAUAUCAAUAAGCGGAGGA
rnacentral:misc_RNA from 1 species